rnacentral:rRNA from 1 species
GUUGCCAGCAAGUAGCGUUGGGCACUCUAGCCAGACUGCCGGUGAUAAAUCGGAGGAAGGUGGGGACGACGUCAAAUCAUCAUGCCCUUUAUGUCCUGGGCUACACACGUACUACAAUGGCCGUUACAACGGGAAGCGAAGGAGCAAUCCGGAGCAAAUCCCUUAAAGGCGGUCCCAGUUCAGAUUGUGGGCUGAAACUCGCCCACAUGAAGGCGGAAUUGCUAGUAAUUGCAGAUCAGCAUGCUGCAGUGAAUACGUUCCCGGGCCUU